rnacentral:lncRNA from 1 species
GUGUGUCAGGUGACAGUGACCUUCAGAGACAUGGCUGUGUACUUCUGCAGGGGAAAAUGGGAGCGUCUCAGUCCUAGCCAGGGAACCUUCCACCACCAUGUGAUGCUGGAAAACUUCAGGAAUUUAAAUGUGCUGGGAUGCUAUGGCCCGAGACCGGGCCUUAUUUCUCACCUGGAAGAGUGGGAUGAGCCGUGGGUUGAAGACUGGGAUAGAUCAGAGUUUCUGGAAGGACAAAAAGGUGUCUGCCUAGGAGGCAGAAAAUCUGUAGAUCAUAAGGUGGCUUCAGCUCCUGAGAGGACCCAGUCACAGACAGGAGCCAGGAGAGGGGCUACCUUGAGGAAGAAUGCCCUGACGUCCAAUAAGGUGCGCCUCCCGAGUUACCUCUGGGAGGAGAAUGGACAACUAUGAAACUUUCCAGAACCAGAUGUGUGGGAAAUCCCGCAGGAAGCAGCCAGGCAUCAAGGAGCAGGGCAAGAGUGGCGCAGAGGGACAACCAUUUAUCUGUAGCAUUUGUGGGAAGGCCCUGAGUUGCCAUAGCCGGCCGCCUGCUCACCAGACAGUACAUACGGGAACCAGGUCCUUUGAGUGCUUCGAGUGUGGGUUCCACUGGGUUUCAAACCUUCUGCGCCACCAGAGAAAUCACACAAGUGAAAGGCCCUUCUGCUGUGAGGAAUGGGGACAGGCCUUCAGCUUAAAGGACCGCCAGGCACAGCAUCGCAAUAUCCACCCUGAACACCGGCCCUAUGUGCGCAAUGACUGUGAGAAGAAGGCCUUCAAACAGAAAUCAAACCUCCUGCGGCACAAACGUGUUCACAAUGGAGAGAAGCCUUUCUCCGUUGACAACUGUGGCAAGGACUUUACAAAAGAGAACCUCAAGCACCCCCAGCGGAUUCACAGCGGAGAGAAACCCUACACCCGUGGGGAGCGCGGCAAGGUCUUCAGGUGGCCCAAGGGCCUCCACGUCCACCAGAGGCUGCACUGGACAAAGAGGUUCUAUGAG